GACGAACGCUGGCGGCGUGCUUAACACAUGCAAGUCGAACGGAAAGGCCCUGCUUUUGUGGGGUGCUCGAGUGGCGAACGGGUGAGUAACACGUGAGUAACCUGCCCUUGACUUUGGGAUAACUUCAGGAAACUGGGGCUAAUACCGGAUAGGAGCUCCUGCUGCAUGGUGGGGGUUGGAAAGUUUCGGCGGUUGGGGAUGGACUCGCGGCUUAUCAGCUUGUUGGUGGGGUAGUGGCUUACCAAGGCUUUGACGGGUAGCCGGCCUGAGAGGGUGACCGGCCACAUUGGGACUGAGAUACGGCCCAGACUCCUAAGGGAGGCAGCAGUGGGGAAUAUUGCACAAUGGGCGGAAGACUGAUGCAGCAACGCCGCGUGCGGGAUGACGGCCUUAGGGUUGUAAACCGCUUUCGCCUGUGACGAAGCGUGAGUGACGGUAAUGGGUAAAGAAGCACCGGCUAACUACGUG
rnacentral:rRNA from 1 species